rnacentral:rRNA from 1 species
UAGGGAAUCUUCGGCAAUGGACGAAAGUCUGACCGAGCAACGCCGCGUGAGUGAAGAAGGUUUUCGGAUCGUAAAACUCUGUUGUUAGAGAAGAACAAGGACGUUAGUAACUGAACGUCCCCUGACGGUAUCUAACCAGAAAGCCACGGCUAACUACGUGCCAGCAGCCGCGGUAAUACGUAGGUGGCAAGCGUUGUCCGGAUUUAUUGGGCGUAAAGCGAGCGCAGGCGGUUUCUUAAGUCUGAUGUGAAAGCCCCCGGCUCAACCGGGGAGGGUCAUUGGAAACUGGGAGACUUGAGUGCAGAAGAGGAGAGUGGAAUUCCAUGUGUAGCGGUGAAAUGCGUAGAUAUAUGGAGGAACGCCAGUGGCGAAGGCGGCUCUCUGGUCUGUAGCUGACGCUGAGGCUCGAAAGCGUGGGGAGCAAACAGG